rnacentral:lncRNA from 10 species
AUUUUUCUCAGGUCCCAGGGCUGAGAACCAAGGGACAGAGGCUCUGCCGGAUGGCUCAGCCCUUGUGCUCCAAGUGUGGCCCCAGGACACAGCAUCGCCUGGGAGCUUGUUAGAAAUGCGGGGUCUUGGGCCCCACCUCACGCCUCCUCACCCGGGAGCUGCAGCUUCACAAGAUCUCCAGGUGAUUCACGGCACAUAAAAGUUUGGGAAGUGCUGACUCCUGACACCAAGAGGUUGAUUUUGUGAUUGGGCUGUGGGAAGCAGACCAAAAAUAGUUGCCACAUGGCACGUGAACAAGUGUUAGCAGAACAGAGAGAGCUGCAGGACAUUUAAAAAUGGGAGCCCUCUGAGUGCCGGAGUAUUCAGAAGGCUUCUUGGUGGAGGCAGAAUUUCAGCAGCCUUGAAGUCAGAGCCUCGUGUGAGGGAGUGAUGCUGGAGACUGGAGGCUGAGUGUCUCAUCUGUGCCUACUUCAGACUUCUGGACCACCUGCUUCCCUUGCAGGCUGUGGGUAAGGGCUCCAUUCCCAAACCCCAUCCCAUCCUCUUAGCUAUGGCCAAGUAGACCCAGCUCCUGGAAGACAGCGUGCUGCUUCAGGAUGAAGCCUUCUCACGUCUUUCAGCUUGAACCCCCUUCCUUUGGGCUGACCCCCAUUUGCCCGUGAAUACCUAGUUCAGUGAACAAAAGAGAAACUGAGUCCAGGGCACAGUCCCUGAGCGCUGAGACUGGAUUGGAAGCCCCUACCAACACCCUGUGGCCAUUGUCCCCAGCACUACCAUCACUGCCAUCUUCGGUGUCCUGGCUGCCUCCCCACCAUGCUGUGUAAGGACUCUUUGGGUCCCGGAAUUCCCAGGCUCAGCGCUGUGGCCUGAAGGCUUGGCCCAGCAAUUGGCAGGGCGCAGGCAAGCAAUAAUAUUGAGUGAAUGAAUGAAUGAGCAUUCUCUCCUAGAGUUCCUGCAUCUGGGGGAAGGUAGUGUGACUUCAUGGUUGAGAGCUGUCAGACAACCUGGAUUUAAAUCCUGGAUCUCCCAUUUACUAGCUGUGUGACUUGGAGCAAGCUACUUAACCUCUCUGUGCCUCCAUCUCUGCGCCUAUAAGAUGGGCUAAUACAGUUGUGAUGAAUUAAUUAAUUAAUAUGCAUAAAGCACUCAGCACAGGUUCUGGCAGGGGUAAUCUCUCAAUAAAUCAUACCUG